CAGAAGUUAGUUAAUUUAUAACAUAUGUUUGUCAUACUUAAGUAGUCUUCUAGACACUUCUAA
rnacentral:tRNA from 1 species